ACGAAAGAGACCUCUAGUAGAACCUAACAAAGUGUCUGUGUCUAUUUGCCAUAAACAACUAGGAUUUGGAAAAGACACCUCCGCCCCAGAGCAGAACCUUCGGUGAAUGCAGAUAUUAAAGUCUGAGUUUAAGAUGGCAUCACAUAGCAGUCCAAUGAAAGAUGCAUUGCAUCAUGUUAUUUUGAGAAUGGACAAAAUAUCAAAACUUGAGGUGAAGUACAUUAAUGCAGUAAAAGGACGUGGGGUCUUUGCAAAAAGUUCAAUUUACAAAGGACAGUUUGUAGUUGAGUAUCAUGGAGAAAGUAUCACUGAAGAAGAAUAUGAGAGGAGAAGGAGACUGUACCACCCUGCUUGUGCUGCCUUUAUGUUUGCAUUUAAGUGGCAAGGCAAAACAUGGUGAGAAGAUGGGUCACUCGGUAGGCUCAUAAAUGAUGACCACAUAUAACCAAACUGCAAAAUGAAAAAAAAAUUAACGUGAAUGGAAACCCCCACCUUUGUUUCUUUGCCCUUAAUGAUAUUAAAAA